rnacentral:rRNA from 1 species
UACGGGGGAUGCAAGCGUUGUCCGGAAUCAUUGGGCGUAAAGAGUUCGUAGGUGGCACGUUAAGUCUGGUGUUAAAUGCAAAGGCUCAACCUUUGUUCGGCACUGGAUACUGGCGAGCUUGAAUGCGGUAGAGGUAAAGGGAAUUCCUGGUGUAGCGGUGAAAUGCGUAGAUAUCAGGAGGAACAUCGGUGGCGUAAGCGCUUUACUGGGCCGUAAUUGACACUGAGGAACGAAAGCCGGGGUAGCAAAU